rnacentral:rRNA from 1 species
CACGUAGGGCGCAAGCGUUGUCCGGAAUUAUUGGGCGUAAAGAGCUCGUAGGUGGUUUGUUACGUCCGCUGUGAAAUCCCGAGGCUCAACCUCGGGCUUGCAGUGGGUACGGGCAGGCUAGAGUGCGGUAGGGGAGAAUGGAACUCCUGGUGUAGCGGUGGAAUGCGCAGAUAUCAGGAAGAACACCGAUGGCGAAGGCAGUUCUCUGGGCCGUAACUGACGCUGAGGAGCGAAAGCGUGGGGAGCGAACAGG